rnacentral:lncRNA from 1 species
CUUAUCCAGGAAAUCAAAUAAAUAUCUGCAUGUCUUAUCAUUCUUUUAUAGGGACAACUGUACCUGCUUUGCCCAGUUUCAGGUACUGGGAUUUCAGUUACAGUUUUCAGUUGGCUUUAGCUGUUUCGGGUUAAAAUUCUUGACAUUUUUAAGUUGUCUGUUCAUUUGUUUGUAUAUCACUUGGGAAUAUACAAUACCAUUAUGAAGGAUUAAUUAAUAAUAAUGGCUAGAAGGCGCCACCAUGCCAGCCCUAUUUUGUUAAAUGGAAUCUAUCCAGUUGAUGAAGCCAGAAAUUCCUAUCAAGUACAUCAUCAAAUUCUACGAUUCUACUCUAAUAAGUAGCUUGAUAAUCUAUCCACUACCACCUCUUACUUAAAUAUUUGCAACAGCCUCCUCCCUGGUUCUUCGUCCCUUGGCCCCAACCCAAUCUCCAUUCGGCAGCCAGAAUGGUUUUCUAAAAGGAAAAAUCAUAAAUUUCCCUUACAAACUUUUUAAUAGCUCCGCACUGCACUCAGGACAGUUCAAUCUCUUCCACAUGGCUUACAAAGCUCUCCAAGAGAUGGCUUCUGCUUACCUCUCUAGUCUCAGCUCUCACUACUCUCACAAAGCCAAACCCUCAUAUCCACCUGGUGCAUUCACCUCUUGAACUCUACAUUAAGCCAUACAAACUACAUGUUAGUUAUCUGAAUAUGAUAUGCUCUCUCCUUUUGACCUUUCUACAUGUUCCCUCUGUCUGAAACACUUUUCCCACACCCACUCCUGUCUCCCUCUCCCCCAUUUUUCUGGCUAAUUCCUGGUCCAUUAGAUCUCAACUUUUUUUAAUGCGUAUCUUCCAGGAAUUCUUCCUUUACAUCCCUUAUGAGGUCCAGCAAUAGGUUUCUUUUGAUGUGCUCAUAUGGUAUCCUGAAUUUCUCCCAUCCAAGCACUCAUCUUACUAUACUGUAAGAAUGUUAAAUAUCCUAAUGGCAAGGGUAGUGUAUGUCUUGUUCAUUAUGUGUCCCCAGUACCUAACAUAAUAGCUGGCACAUAUUAAGUAUUUAAUAUCUAUUAAAACCUGAAACCAAUUUUAAAAAUAAGGUUAUAAUCUUAUCAAAAGCGUUAUAAUGUAUAAUAUUAGUAGAAACUGAAAAUUUGCAAAUUUGUACAUUUUUGGAAGUUCAAAUUAAUGGAAUUAUAUUCCAGCUUAACAGAAAUUUUAUUUACUAUUAUACCAUGUUUAGUUUUUACCAACGGAUACCUUCACCUCAAAUAAAGGGAGAUGAGCAAGAAAACAUUCUGAUUAACAACUCAUCCCACUGAUUUUUUCUUACGGAGAAAAUCAAUUUCAAUGUGAAGACACAGACAACAUAUUUUAUUUCUGCAGCUGACAAUAACAGGAGAUAGUAGUGGUAAUGAGUCACAAACUUUGAAAAAGUGAGGGACGGCAGAAGUAAAUUAUCAUGAAAGCAACUGUAACUUAAAAAGAGGACUUUGCCAAAAAUAGGUCAGAAAGUAGGAUGUUCCAUACUAUGGAACACUUUAAACAUAUGUGGAUACCCAAAACAUCUUGGCUUUUAAUUAUUUAACAUAUAAACUUUGACUGUCAACUCCCUUAUAGCUUUACAUACAAAGCUUUCAAAUAGUAUUAGGUGUUCUGAAUAAAAUCAUUUGGUGAAAUGAUAGUUUCUUUUCCUUACACACUAAAAUUCCCUACUUAAGUUAGUCUCUAUCAAUACAAGCUUUCAGAGUAACAAGCUAGAAGCUAGAAGCAUACCCGUAACUAUUAAGCCCUAAGAGAAAGGGAAGGUGAUUCUUUAGUCUUCGAAGGCUAUGAAACAAACUACAAUUUAAAAUCUUAAAAUGCAAGUCUUUUUUAUACUAACAUUGUGUUAAUGGACUCAACAGAGAAGCUAGGUGAUAGGUAUUUUAUAGAAUGGAAGAAUGAUCUUACCUGGAAGAUUACCCUUUGAGAUGGUAUCUGUAUCCAAAUUGUAGGUAUCCUGGAGACGUAACAGAGCUUUGGCUGCCCCAACCUGAUCUUCAUCAUUAGGAAAGUACUGUCUCUGAAUGGUUAGGUUAGAGAUAAAGCCUUGAAAUAGAUAAAUCAAAGAAAAAAAAGACUGUAGAACCUCAUAAACUUCCCAUAAAGAGACUUAAUAAGGAUUGUUCAAAAUCUAUUUUAUUAUUUUCUACCACACCAUGAAAAGUUCUACAUACUCAACAAGAAAAAAUUAAAUACACUGAAUAAGACUUGGCAUACUUCUAACUUGUUCAAUCUUCCGAAAGCCUAGUGUUGCUUAAGGACUGUGACGCUGUUAUAUAAAUUGUAUCUGUAUUAGCAGGUAAAGAUCACCUAACAUAAUAGUUAUGAGUUUUUAGUUAUAUAACACAGCAAGAAAACAAAGUGCAUCCACUAAGUUUGAGAAACGAACACAUUUAUGGGUCUGAAAUGACAUUCAUUGACAAUCAAUUAUACUUCCAGAUAACAGAUGGUAAGUAAAAUAUGUGCUCUUAAAGUUGUUUUUUUCUUCCAUGUAUUACACAUUAUAUAAAUAUGUAAAUAUAUAAAGUUUGGUGGAAUUCUUCAAGGAGAAGGAAGAGAUAUUAAUUAUAUAUUUAAGAUCAACAGCCAAGCUAGUUUACUAAAAUAUAUUUAGAUCAGUUUAAUUAUCAAACAUGAUGUUGAUCAACCAAAAUUUACAAUAUAUAAACCUAAUCUUAGAGGAUUUAUAUAAAGUAUGCAAAAAUCAAACCAAUUACUGAUAACUAUAUAACCCCAAGAAAAAUGGAUGCUAAACACUCCUUAAGAAACAAAAAAUUGGUUUAAAAUUUUAAUAUCAGUAUCAUUGUGAAUAAAAGUUAGGUAUGAGACUUCCCUCUCUUCUCAUUAACUUAUAAUCAACUGUUUUGUUUUUUUUGAGACAGUCUCACUCUGUCAUCCAGGCUGGAGAGCAGUGGCACGAUCUCAGCUCACUGCAACCUCCACCUCCCAGGUUCAAGCAAUUAUCUUGCCUCAGCCUCCCAGUAGCUGGGAUUACAGGCAUGUGCCACCACACCUGGCUAAUUUUUGUAUUUUUAGUAGAGACGGGGUUUCACCGUGUUGCCCAGGCUGGUCUCCAACUCCUGGCCUCAAACGAUCCACCUGCCUUGAUCUCCCAAAGUGCUGGGAUUACAGGCAUGAGCAACUGUGUCCAGCCAGCUACGUAUUUUGAACAGCAAGAGACCAGGCCCUUUUUUUUUUUUUUGAGAUGGAGUCUCGCUCUGUCACCCAGGCUGGAAUGCAGCAGUGCAAUCUUGGCUCACAGCAACCUCUGACUCCCGGUUCAAGCAAUUCUCCUGCCUCAGCCUCCUGACUAGCUGGGAUUAAAGGUGCCCACGACCAGGCCCAGCUAACUUAUAUUUUUAGUAGAGACGGGUUUUCACCACGUUGGCUAAGCUGCUCUCGAACUCCUGACCUCAAGUGAUCUGCCGGCCUCAGCCUCCCAAACUACUAGGAUUACAGGCGUGAGCCACCGUGCCUGGCUGAGACCAGGCAUUUUUAUGUUAAUGAAAAUGUACAAAUGAACAAAUAACUAGAAGAGGGCUAGAGUUUAUAUCAAGCAUAUUUUUAUGCUGUUUUGUCUCUUUUUAGAGACAGAGUCUUGCCAUGUUGCCCAGGCUGAAGUGCAGUGGCUUUUUACUGGUAUAAUUCCAUUAUUAGAUCAAUCAUGGGAGUUUUGACCUGCUCUGUUCCCAACAAUAUUUUUAGUUUUACGACCAACUCUCAGUUGCAAUCUCUAUAUGGAAUUUUACAAGCAAGUUUUACAAGUUUUAUAGAAGGCUAUAAUAUUUCUUAUGCUACAAACAAAAUUCUAAGAAAAAUUAAAAUAUAUAUACUCUCUCAUAGCAUUAUAGAAUGACUACUACAGAUUAAAACAACAAAGUGCCAAGGUUCACAUUAUAAAACAACUUAGUUCAUUACUUGAGAAUAAAUAUAUGGAUUUCCUUUAAAAAAUGUGUUCAGGGGCCAGGAACCAUGGCUCACACGUGUAAUCCCUAGCGCUGUGGGAGGCUGAGGUGGAAGGAUCACAUGAGGCCAAGAAUUUGAGAUCAGCCUGGGCAACAUAGCAAGACCUUGUUUCUAAGAAAGAAAAAUUUUUAAAUUGGCCUGGCGUGGUGGUCUAUGCUUGUAGUGCUAGCUACUGAGGAGGCUGAGGUGGGAGGAUUGCUUGAGCCCAGAAGUUCAAAGCUGCAGUGAGCCACCAUUGUGCCACUGUACUCCAGCCUGGGCAACAGUGAGACAGUGAGACCCUGUCUCCAAAAAAAAAAGUUCCCAAGGUGUUAUACGGUACAGAAAAUAAUCACAGGCAUUGCCCUCUCACAGUAAAGAAGUAUUCACAAGUACUUGCCAUAUUUUUCUUUUCAAGGCUUUUAAUCAAAGAAUUCAGGAUUUUGACUAAAUUAACUCUAUUCAAACCAAAUGCACCCAGGCAUAAUCCAGUUACAACACUGAACUGAACUGGUUUCCUGGGAACUGAAUUUAUCAUUAAUUUUAUUAUUUCUACAUAUGGUGGCAAUAUUACCUUACUCAGGAAUCUCUUCAGACUUACCAUCUGACAUAUCCUUAAGGACCAGAUUCUCCAACUCACUCCACUCAGUAUUCAGACGUUUCAUUAAUUUGAAUGCAUUUACUGGAUGCCCAACAAAUCCUUCUGGAUCUUUUGUCGCUGUACUAGUCAGCCGAUCUAACUUCUCUGCCCAUCUACAGAUGUAAAACAUAAAAACCGAAUAUUUAUAUUUCAUAGGGAAAAACACAAUUUAAUGAAAUGCUCAGAAAAAAAUGACUAGAAGUUUUUGAGUUCAACUAUACCUGUAGUUUCUUUUUAAAGUAAAAUUAUAUGGUCUCUUUAAA